GACGAACGCUGGCGGCGUGCCUAAUACAUGCAAGUCGAACGCAGUGGGGACGGGUGAGUAACACGUGGGUAACCUCCCAUCAGAGGGGAUAACACUUGGAAACAGGUGCUAAACCGAUACUGAUGGAUGGACCCGCGGUGGAUUAGCUAGUUGGGGAGGUAACGGCUCACCAGGGCCACGAUGCAUAGCCGAGCUGAGAGGGUGAGCGGCCACACGGGAACUGGGACACGGUCCAUAUUCCGACGGGAGGCAGCAGGAGGGAAUAUUGGGCAAUGGACGAAAGUCUGACCGAGCCAUGCCGCGUGAGUGAAGAAGGUUUUCGGAUCGUAAAGCUCUGUUGUUAGGGAAGCGGUAUCUGACCAGAAAGCCACGGCUAACUACGUGCCAGCAGCCGCGGUAAUUC
rnacentral:rRNA from 1 species